UAGGGAGUCUUCGGCAAUGGGGGCAACCCUGACCGAGCAACGCCGCGUGAGUGAAGAAGGUUUUCGGAUCGUAAAGCUCUGUUGUAAGAGAAGAACGUGUGUGAGAGUGGAAAGUUCACACAGUGACGGUAACUUACCAGAAAGGGACGGCUAACUACGUGCCAAG
rnacentral:rRNA from 1 species